rnacentral:rRNA from 1 species
ACGGGAGGCAGCAGCUAAGAAUAUUCCGCAAUGGACGAAAGUCUGACGGAGCGACGCCGCGUGGAUGAUGAAGGCCGAAAGGUUGUAAAAUCCUUUUAUUACUGAAGAAUAAGUUCCGCAGGGAGUGGCGGAAUGGUGACCGUAGGUAAUGAAUAAGCACCGGCUAAUUACGUGCCAGCAGCCGCGGUAACACGUAAGGUGCGAGCGUGGUUCGGAAUUAUUGGGCGUAAAGGGCAUGUAGGCGGUCCUGCAAGCUUGGAGUGAAAUCCCGGAGCUUAACUCCGGAACUGCUUUGAGAACUACAGGACUAGAAUCACUGAAGGGGAACCGGAAUUCCAGGUGAAGGGGUGAAAUCUGUAGAUAUCUGGAAGAACACCAAUGGCGAAGGCAGGUUUCUGGCAGAUGAUUGACGCUGAGGUGCGAAGGUGCGGGGAGCAAACAGGAUUAGAUACCCUGGUA